rnacentral:rRNA from 1 species
AACGAACGCUGGCGGCAGGCUUAACACAUGCAAGUCGAGCGCGUAGCAAUACGAGCGGCAGACGGGUGAGUAACGCGUGGGAAUCUACCCAUCACUACGGAACAACCCCGGGAAACUGGAGCUAAUACCGUAUACGUCCUUCGGGAGAAAGAUUUAUCGGUGAUGGAUGAGACCGCGUUGGAUUAGCUAGUUGGUGGGGUAAUGGCCUACCAAGGCGACGAUCCAUAGCUGGUCUGAGAGGAUGAUCAGCCACAUUGGGACUGAGACACGGCCCAAACUCCUACGGGAGGCAGCAGUGGGGAAUAUUGGACAAUGGGCGCAAGCCUGAUCCAGCCAUGCCGCGUGAGUGAUGAAGGCCCUAGGGUUGUAAAGCUCUUUCACCGGUGAAGAUAAUGACGGUAACCGGAGAAGAAGCCCCGGCUAACUUCGUGCCAGCCGCCGCCGUAAAAC